rnacentral:rRNA from 1 species
AGGACGAACGCUGGCGGCGUGCUUAACACAUGCAAGUCGAGCGGAAAGGCCCUUCGGGGUACUCGAGCGGCGAACGGGUGAGUAACACGUGAGCAACCUGCCCUUGGCUCUGGGAUAGCCUCCGGAAACGGGGAUUAAUACCGGACAUUCACUGAUCCCUGCAUGGGGGAUGGUGGAAAGUUUUUCGGCUAGGGAUGAACUCGCGGCCUAUCAGCUUGUUGGUGGGGUAAUGGCCUACCAAGGCGACGACGGGUA